ACAUCUAAUAGUUUUACUGUAUAGAUACUUUGCCCAACAAAAAAAAUUACAUGUAUCUUAUUCAAAUUUUGUUGUAUUACCAAUCAAUAUUUUGAUUAUUAUGUUAUAAUUUUAAAAAACCAGCAGUUUGUUGCUAAUAUAAAUAGAGAAAAAUUUGAUUUAUUUGCUACUGAUUAAAUUACAAAAUUCUUAAAAUAGAUUGUAUUUAGCAUCUGGUUCAUGUAAAUAUAAUAUUAUUAAUUUCUCACGCUCUAGGGUACCUUCAAAAUUGCAUAGGCAAAGGUAAACUCUAUCAGACUCGUAAUAAUAUGUACUAUACGUAUCCACCAUGUCUUAUUUGUAAACGUUCACUUUGUGUUCAAUAUUUACAUUUUAAAACUUGUUUAAAUUCAUUUUACUGUGUGGUUAGAAAUCCCUAAAGCAGCUGAAUAUUUGCAUACAGAUCGUCCAGGGGAUUUCAAUAGCACCGCCCUUAUCCUCUCGAUGUUUUCAGACGGUUAUGGAAGGUCCAUUAUGUGUAUGUAUUCUUCUGAACAUGUCCACCCAUAAGUAAAUCGAUAUUGAAUUGUUUCCUUAAUGCACGCUGAGUUGUGCUCCUCAUUCGUCUACUGCACGAUGGACACUAAACUAACCUCUAAAAAAAUUUAGAUCACACGCUUUCGAACUCACCAUAGGAACAUACUCUAGGAGUAACAGUCGCUUUGUAGUGUGAGUUUCAAAUAAAGAAGUGACCCUGCCCCACUCUGUAUUUUGUUUUAAGUUUUAAGUCUAGUAAGAAUGGUAAUAUCUACCGAUUUAAUCUCACUUUUGUUAUGAUUGUAGUAAUUUUAAUAUAAAAUCAUAGAUUCAAUUAUUCUUUUUUUUUUUUAAUAGCCAAUAGGUAAUGCAGUGUGAUAUCAAUAGUUUUCAUAGUUUAUCUGUCUUAAUCAACAAAAAUUGUAUUCCAAAAAUUAUUAUAACAUAUGUUGUCAGUAAGAUUGGAAAAAAAUAAUUUACUAUGUAUAAAAUAUAUUUACAUUUGGUAACCUUUAAAACAAAAAAAAAAUACA